rnacentral:lncRNA from 1 species
GGAAAUGAAUAACUGAAUUCCAUACUUUUUAAAGAUAAUGAGUUCGUCUGUUCAAGUUUAACAUAUUUUCAAAUUAACCCUCACACUAUAUAGUCAAAUCUAACACUGCCCUCGGAAGUAGAAGUGACCCACCUUGCCCCUUAAUUGAUAUUUUCCAUCUCAUUUUACCCCAUUAACGUCAAGUUAGGGAUGACAACGGAUCGGGUAGGGGUAGGGUAUGACAAUACCAUCCUCGUCCCCGCUCUCCAUCCCCGCCCCCGUCCCCGAACCCAUGCCCAUUUAAUAGGUUUCGGGAAAUCCUCAUCCCCGUUCCCGUCGGGGGGACUAUUACACAUACCCG